AAUGAACGUUGGCGGCGUGGAUUAGGCAUGCAAGUCGAGCGAGAACCGUAGCAAUACGGGGACAGCGGCGAAAGGGACAGUAAUGUGUAGAUUAUCUGCCCUCAGGUCUGGGAUAGCCGCGGGAAACUGCGGGUAAUACCAGAUGACAUCUCCGGAUCAAAGGUGUGAUUCCGCCUGAGGAUGAGUCUGCAUCCUAUUAGCUUGUUGGUGGGGUAAUGGCCUACCAAGGCGAUGAUGGGUAGCAGGUGUGAGAGCACGACCUGCGUCAUUGGGACUGAGACACUGCCCAGACACCUACGGGUGGCAG
rnacentral:rRNA from 1 species